rnacentral:misc_RNA from 1 species
UUGAAUGGUCUUUGACCUUCUACCCCUCAAACCUGUGGAAGCUAAAAAACGUGCUUCGGCGUCCUUUUGGGCGCCGCUUUUAUGCAUAAAUAUGUGUGUCGUCUGAAUCAUACACAUGAAUCA